GGUUUCCACUUAAUAUUUUCCUGGUUAUUUCCCUGAUUAUCCCAUAUUCUCUCUCAAAUGUUUCAGUGUUAUACAGGAAUAAAGUCCUCCUGCCUAUUCAGUAUUAGAAGUUAGAACUAAAUUAGAACUAAGGGCAAAAACCAUAAAUUUUGAGGCACACAUGUGCCAAAGAAAACAAAGGCGUUCCUGAGUGGAGGAGGUUGAGAGAUGAAAUGUUUUUAAAACACAGGACCAGUAGGAUAGGAUGGUUCAUUUUUGUUGGGAAGUAGAGUUCACAUGUUUAUGAUGUCACUAGAUGUUUCUGCCAAUGAGGACUCAGGAAGCGACCACAAGGUUCUGCUCUUGAAGAGAAGGCUAGGAUGGGCCUCAGUGAUAAAAGGUGCCGUGGAAAACAAAGUGUAAUCAAAAGAUGAAAGCUGAAACAGAAAAAUUAAAAGAAGAAAUAAAAGAAAAGUCAACACCCUUUUGUGUGAAAUGUGGGAUAGUUAAACCAUAUCGCAUUCUUAUCCUCGUCUGCACUUUCAGUGGUUCUGCCCUUCUGUGGUGGGCCUUCAGCCUCUCCACCUGGGUGAGGAUAGAAAUCCCAAGUGGCUCCCAAGUCCUUUUCAGCGCUCUUUUUGCAAUAUGCAGUGGUGAGAUCAAGUGUUGGAUUCCACUAUCAAAAUCAAGUAAGUCCUAGCCUUGAAAGGGAGGGUCCUUCUCCAACCCUGUCCUUGCUGGGAAUUUUCAGUCUCGUUUUCUGCCCCAGUACACCUGAAGGAAGCAGUUAUACUUCCAUCAGUAACAUUGGCUCAUUUCAGAAUGAGUGUGGGGACCAGGCUUCCCUAGGGAUACCAGCCCAGGGAGAAUCAGCUAAAUCUUUCGUGUGGUUGACAUCUCCCUCCAUCCCUAAGCUUCCCACCACUUGCCAAUGGUUCCUGCCUUAAAGUCUCUGUACAAUUUCUUUAGUAUUCUGGGGAUUCAGACUCACAAGGAAGGGGGGCCCUAGAGGGAGCUGCUGGCCUUUCUCCCCUCUCCCUCCCUAAUUCAGACGACUACAUCUUUGGUCGAAUUUUCAUGAUCAGCGCCCUUCUUCUCUCCUUCUUCCUGAGCUUUAUACUCCUGGUCUUACCUCAUUCCCUUCCUGAUACCCGGAAACAGUACUUUGUCUUCACAAUCGUCUUCUUCGUCAUAGGUAAGGGAUGAAAGAAAGAGGGUUCCUUCCAUUAUUCUGGUUCUGGGCUUGGGUGGUAAUCCAUUGGGCAUAGCCUCUUGGACGUUGUUCAUGGACUGCUAAGGGAAAAGGUAAUAAAAAGAAUGACAACAAAAGGAAAGAAAUAGAGUAUGGGGAAUUAAAAUGACCACCUAAGAUCUUGAGAAUUAGCCCUGAGGCCAGAGACUAAGC
rnacentral:lncRNA from 1 species